ACAGGCUGCCGAGACUCCUGGAAGAGUCCUGAUCGGCCUUAUAUGACAUUAGAUCUAAGAUGGCUCCCAGAACACCAGAGACACAGCAAAAGGAAUGGAGAACCCUCCACUUUGGCCCGUAGAGCAGAAGCGCAGAUCGGUGUCCACAAAAGGCUCUUCCUCAGGACCAGUGCGAAGUGCUUGGGAAAGGGUCAGCCAAUGUGAUAGUACUCCUUAAAAGUUUCUUAAAGGAGAAAAAAUAAACUUAUCAGACAUGAAAAGUGGGAUAAAAAAUUGAUUCCAAGUCUGUAAGGUGGAGCUGGCUCUUUACAAUGCUCUGAACUGUGGUGAAAUAACAUGUCUCUGUGUCAGAAAUCCCUCUGACAGAGGGAAACCAGGCCGAUGCAUGAUUUCCUGUUUCCCCAUCCCUGUGUGUGCUGCCUCCUCACGGUCCUGACCCACACCCUGCUUCACUCCCUCUGAGUGCCCUUUUCUUCUGAAGCACUGGGUAGUUUCCUUCGCUUACCUUAUUUUAGUCACUAAAGUCACUACUGGGGAAAACGUUCAUCCACAAACCGUUGCAGGCCGAAGUCUUGCUAAGUAGAGAAGGCAAGGACGGGCUGGACAUCUUUUUUCAACAUUAGAGAAGAAGUGGAGAAUUGGUUAACAAAGCAAAGGUUAACUUUCCCCAACUAGGGCUCUGUGGUCUCUUGUUAAAUGACCAGCCUGAGCCACCAGUGGUGGUGGCAGCAUAGGCUUUUGCUGGAUAUCUUCCUUUCAUUAUGUCCUUUAAAGUUAUAACUUACUUUAUUCAACAUGCCUUUGCAUGCUAUGUCAAGAGAUAGCGUGAAGCAUCAUAUUCCUCAUAUUCCGCUGUAGGUACAUGCAAUCCUGAUUUUUCAUGUUAUUUGUCAUCUUGGCCAGUGUUCAUUGAGAGCUACUGGGUUGUCUUCUGAUAAGGACUCCAUAUUGGUAGCAGUCUUCAGUUUGACUUUUAUGUUGAGAAGUGAGCCCUUGUCCCGAUGGUGCAUAUGUCCUCCUGAUGGAUAUGCUAGUGGUUGGGUUAAUUUCCACUGAGACUGUUAAUAGUGAAGUGUCUUAUCAAGUCUCCUUAGCCUGCUAUUUUAUAUUAUUCUGUGGCCUACAUAGAGCCAUCACUAGGAACAUGACACCCCCAAAUUGCUGGUAUUGCCCUGGGUAUUUGUUUCAGAGUCUUAGAAGACCUGAUAGUAGGUCAAUGGUUGAUUCACCCGAGCCUAUAAAGAUAAACCAUAGCAAGAAUGACCUCACAUGAAUCAUGUCACUUCAAGACAAACAGGCAGAAGUAGAGAAAGGCUCUUAAUACAUGGAUGAACUACAGACAUAGGCUGCUUGGAGGGGGGUCCACAGUUUUACUCCCAUAUUUAUUUGUCGGCAGAAACUUUCAGUGGUUUUAUCUGUCUUAACUCCUUUUGGAUGAUCAAGAUCUGCUGCAUUGAUAUGGGGAUCCAAUGAGUCACAAAGAAAAUCUUUCCUGAUUUCCGAAAUUGAUGACUGGCAUUAUCUAGAACUUUCUAGACCACCUCACACCUUCACUUGUGUCUCGGUUCUCAGUGCAGCUCAGCACUAGUUAUGGAUGUUUUCACAUUUCAAGAUUAUGUUAGCACUUCAAUUCAGAUUGUGAUUUUGGAAAAAUCUUAUGUUUUAUUGAAAAUGUUUUUCUAUACAAUAUAUUAUAAUUAUGGUUUCCCCUCCCUCUAUGCCCCCACUUUCUCUACUU
rnacentral:sRNA from 1 species